AAGUCGUAACAAGGUUUCCGUAGGUGAACCUGCGGAAGGAUCAUUAAUGAAUAAACUUGGUUAAGUUGCUGCUGGCUUUUAGGGGCAUGUGCACGCUUAAUCCAUCUUUAUAACCACCUGUGCAAUUCGUGUAGAUCUGAGAAAGUCGAGGAAACUCGGUUUGGGAAUUGCUGCGUGAAAGCCAGCUAUUCCUACUUUCAGAUCUACGUUUUCACAUACCCCAUUGAAUGUAUUCGAAUGUUGUAAUAGGCCUCUGUGCCUUUAAAACCUAAUACAACUUUCAACAACGGAUCUCUUGGCUCUC
rnacentral:misc_RNA from 1 species